GACGAACGCUGGCGGCGGGCUUAACACAUGCAAGUCGAACGGAAAGGCCCUGCUUUUGUGGGGUGCUCGAGUGGCGAACGGGUGAGUAACACGUGAGUAACCUGCCCUUGACUUUGGGAUAACUUCAGGAAACUGGGGCUAAUACCGGAUAGGAGCUCCUGCUGCAUGGUGGGGGUUGGAAAGUUUCGGCGGUUGGGGAUGGACUCGCGGCUUAUCAGCUUGUUGGUGGGGUAGUGGCUUACCAAGGCUUUGACGGGUAGCCGGCCUGAGAGGGUGACCGGCCACAUUGGGACUGAGAUACGGCCCAGACUCCUACGGUAGGCAGCAGUGGGGAAUAUUGCACAAUGGGCGGACGCCUGAUGCAGCAACGCCGCGUGCGGGAUGACGGCCUUCGGGUUGUAAACCGCUUUCGCCUGUGACGAAGCGUGAGUGACGGUAAUGGGUAAAGAAGCACCGGCUAACUACGUG
rnacentral:rRNA from 1 species